CUCACUUUCCAAGUUACAAGACCAUUCUCAGCACCACACUGACAACAUGCUGGGGACGCUCUGCACUCUCAUCACUGCUCUAACGUUUGUGAGUGGUGUGACGGUGGUGACACAGAAGCCUCCUGUUGUGAUGCAGAGGAAAGGAGAGACAGCCACCAUGGACUGUAACUUGGGGACUGUUACAGAUGAAUCAGCUCGGUGGUAUAAACAGAUUCCAGGAGGAGUUCCUCAGUUUGUACUGAGGUUUCGUCACGACUGGAGCUCUGUAAAAUAUGGCUCUGGUUUCUCCUCUCCAAAAUUCACAUCUAAUCAUCAGUCACAAUCAGAUUAUCGUUUGAUCAUCAACAAUGUGGAGGAGGGAGACUCAGCAGUCUACUACUGUGAAACAUGGGACAGCUCUGUCAAACAGACUGUAUCACAGUGA